UACGUAGGGUGCAAGCGUUAAUCGGAAUUACUGGGCGUAAAGCGUGCGCAGGCGGUUCGCUAAGACAGAUGUGAAAUCCCCGGGCUUAACCUGGGAACUGCAUUUGUGACUGGCGGGCUAGAGUAUGGCAGAGGGGGGUAGAAUUCUACGUGUAGCAGUGAAAUGCGUAGAGAUGUGGAGGAAUACCGAUGGCGAAGGCAGCCCCCUGGGCCAAUACUGACGCUCAUGCACGAAAGCGUGGGGAGCAAACAGG
rnacentral:rRNA from 1 species